rnacentral:rRNA from 1 species
UACGUAGGGGGCUAGCGUUGUCCGGAAUCAUUGGGCGUAAAGCGCGUGUAGGCGGUCCGGUAAGUCCGCUGUGAAAGUCGAGGGCUCAACCCUCGAAUGCCGGUGGAUACUGUCGGGCUUGAGUACGGGAGAGGCGAGUGGAAUUCCUGGUGUAGCGGUGAAAUGCGCAGAUAUCAGGAGGAACACCGGUGGCGAAGGCGGAUCUCUGGGCCGAUACUGACGCUGAGGAGCGAAAGCGUGGGGAGCAAACAGG